GACGAACCGUCCAAACGUUAUUCGGAAUUACUGGGCUUAAAGGGUGCGUAGGCGGUGCUACAAGUCGGGUGUGAAAGCCCUCAGCUCAACUGAGGAAUUGCGCCCGAAACUGUAGUGCUGGAGGGAGACAGGGGUGAGCGGAACUGAUGGUGGAGCGGUGAAAUGUGUUGAUAUCAUCAGGAACACCGGUGGCGAAGGCGGCUCACUGGGUCUCUUCUGACGCUGAGGCACGAAAGCUAGGGGAGCAAAC
rnacentral:rRNA from 1 species